AUUGAACGCUGGCGGCAUGCCUUACACAUGCAAGUCGAACGGCAGCGCGGGAGCAAUCCUGGCGGCGAGUGGCGAACGGGUGAGUAAUACAUCGGAACGUGCCCAAUCGUGGGGGAUAACGCAGCGAAAGCUGUGCUAAUACCGCAUACGAUCUACGGAUGAAAGCAGGGGAUCGCAAGACCUUGCGCGAAUGGAGCGGCCGAUGGCAGAUUAGGUAGUUGGUGAGGUAAAGGCUCACCAAGCCUUCGAUCUGUAGCUGGUCUGAGAGGACGACCAGCCACAGUGGGAAUGAGACACGGCCCAGACUCCUAGGGGGGGCAGCGGUGGGAAAUUUGGGAAAAGGGGAGAAAGCCUGAUCCAGCCAUGCCGCGUGCAGGAGGAAGGCUUUCGGGUUGAAAACUGUUUUUGUAGGGAACAAAACGGUUUUUUCUAAAAAAGAAGGCAAAUGACGGUACAGAAAGAAAAAGCCCCGGCAAACUACGUG
rnacentral:rRNA from 1 species